AUUGAACGCUGGCGGCGUGCCUAACACAUGCAAGUCGAGCGGUAACAGGUGUAGCAAUACAUGCUGACGAGCGGCGAACGGGUGAGUAAUGCUUUGGAAUCUUCCCAGUAGUGGGGAAUAACCAGUCGAAAGAUUGGCUAAUACCGCAUACGUCUGUAAAGGGAAAGCGGGGCGUCGUAAGACCUCGCGCUAUUGGAUGAGCCAAAGUCGGAUUAGCUAGUUGGGGGGUAAGUGGCCUACCAAGGCGACAAUCCGUAGCUGGUCUGAGAGGACGACCAGCCACACCGGAACUGAGACACGGUCCGGACUCCUACCGGGAGGCAGCAGUGGGGAAGUAUUGGACAAUGGGGGAAACCCGUGAUCCAGCGACGCCGCGUGUGUGAAGAAGGCCUGCGGG
rnacentral:rRNA from 1 species